UAAUACUUUCAGCAACGGAUGUCUUGGUUCCCACAACGAUGAAGGACGCAGCAAAGUGCGAAAAGCAGUGUGAAUUGCGGAAUUCUAUGAACCAUCAGAUUUCUGAACGCA
rnacentral:rRNA from 1 species